rnacentral:pre_miRNA from 1 species
CAAAGAAGCGACAUUGAACGGACCGAAUACAUAUUUUUAAGUCAUUGAUAAAUAUUUAUUCAUGACUUGAAAAUAUGUAUUCGGUCCGUUCAAUGUCGUUUUUA